CAGUCAUGCCUGCGAGAAAUCAAUCAUUCUAAUCUUGUUUUCGAAUUUGAUUAAUUGGUGCACUUUUUCGCGUGGCAGGUUAGCAUCAACUUUAAUGGUUGUAAAAUGGUGGUCGGAAUGUGACUCUAUUUAUAGAGUGUUAUAGCCGAUUGCAGAUGCAACGAUUGGGGUUGAGGUUUGCGGCAAAUGCCUUUGGGCUACUUACCUUCCUUCUG
rnacentral:rRNA from 1 species